UAGGGUCUCCUGCUUGGGCAGGGAGCUUGGACUAGAUGACCUGCAAGGUCCCUUCCAACUCUGUUAAAUCUGUAAGUUGGAUGCCUCAGAGCCCUGGAACUUAGUGAGGAACAGCAAGUCUCUUGGAUGGCUAGAUAUGAAUUAGGCCUCGGUCUACAAGUUGUUAACCACAUCAAACAUCAUUAACACAGUCAUUUCAAGGACAGGAAAAACCCCAACAGCUGCUGUGGGUUAUGCAGUGUUCCUGGGGAAGCUGCCAUGACGACUCCUUGAGGUAAGGCUGUGGUUGGAGUACGGAUUUGGUAUGUUGGCAUGUCACCUGUAGCAGCUGCAAUUUCAAAAAAGAAGACAUUAUAUAAUACAAAGGAAAAUGGCAUAGUUUAUUAUCAAAACAAACAAACAAAUAAAUGUUCUAGCAUGGUAUCUGCCAUCAA